GAUGAAGAACGUAGCGAAAUGCGAUAAGUAGUGUGAAUUGCAGAAUUCAGUGAAUCAUCGAAUCUUUGAACGCACAUUGCGCCCCUUGGUAUUCCAUGGGGCAUGCCUGUUCGAGCGUCAUUUGUACCUUCAAGCUCUGCUUGGUGUUGGGUGUUUGUCUCGCCUCUGCGUGUAGACUCGCCUCAAAACAAUUGGCAGCCGGCGUAUUGAUUUCGGAGCGCAGUACAUCUCGCGCUUUGCACUCAUAACGACGACGUCCAAAAGUACAUUUUUACACUCUAGACCUCGGAUCAGGUAGGGAUACCCGCUGAACUUAAGCAUAUCAAUAAGCGGAGGA
rnacentral:misc_RNA from 1 species